CAAGGUGAGCCAUGGAUCAGAAUCAGCGGGCCCGUCUGAUCCGUCGGGAAGUUCGCUUUCCGUUCGGUGGGUACAGGCGGAAAUUGAAUGCAGGGUCCAGUAUCUUCUCUGCCUAGAGCGGUGCUCAUUUGGAAGCUCAGGCCUGCAGCGUAGAGAAAAAGAGCGGCGGCUGCGAGGCACCAUGGAUUUCCUGAUGCAGCCAAUCGAGGGAUCCACUCUCCUUGCAGAUUUAGGCGAGAGCUUGGUGCCGGUCCCUGUGCCGCAAGCGCCGUCGGGAGGCGCUAUGGUGGAGGAGUAGGAGGUGGCGGAGCAGCAACAGGCGGUGGACAGCGCAGACGCUCAGAUUUUCGCGGCCAAGGAGGCGGCGGCGGAUAGGAGGGAGAGCUCGCCUCCGACGUCGGAGCUGUCAGUUGGGAAGAUGAAUCCGCAGGUGGUGACUGUGUGGAACAAGAGGGUAAAGUUGGUGUUAAGAACACAAGGUCUUGCCGUUGCAAAUGUCAGACGCUGGGUGGUACAUCACAGAGCAUUGGGAGAGCCACAACCAUUCCCUUUCACCAAACUUUGGCGAGAUGGUGCAUUGGCCAUGGCACAAGCAUAUAUAUCUGAUAAAACAGUUGCGGCAAAACAAUGCCAACCUUGCGAAGGUGUAUGGUAUCAUAGGGAACUUCUUUGGAUCAAUGGAGAAUGUGCCAUUCACCAAAAGGUCUUUGCGCAAUCUCCGUGGGAAGAUAAAUAGGGAGCAGGUCGAUGAUGAUGAAGGUGUUUGCUGAAAUUGGGGCCAAGGAUCCGCAUUUCACAUACAAAAUUCAGGCUGACAAUGAGGGCGGGAUUAACAACCUGAUGUGGGCAAGUGGAAACAGCAAGCUGCAGUACACAUUUUUCAGGGAUGUGAUAACAUUUGACACCAUGUACUGGACUAAUUUGUACGAAAUGAUGUUCAGGCUAUUGUUGGUGUUAAUAGUCAUUUCCAGAGUACCAUCCUGGCAGAGGUGCUUGUUUGUGAUGAGACAACUGAGAGUUCUGAAUGUUUUCUCAGAAUUUCUUAGAGUGAUGGGCGGCGCUCCUCUGAUGACUAUACUUACUGGUAAGUUCUUGCUUUCCUGGUGUGUUUUGCAGACCCUAUUCAGGCUAUGGAGCUGGCUAUCAAAGAGCAUUAUGCCAGACACCACAUGCUGGCGGUGCAAGUGUCACAUGCUCAAGAACGCAAAGUAAACGUUGGGCCCUCUGUACACCAAGAAGAGUGAAUUCAAAGUAGAGUCCCAUGAGGUGGUGAACUACAUGCUCACGGUAGAUGGGUUUGAGAAUGGGUGGGUGAUGAUGUUGGAUGAAUACAACCUAUGGAGACGCCCAUACAUGACUCAACUUCUCGAGAUCAGAAAGAAAUGGACAAAGCCGUAUUUCGAAGGUGUUUUAUGUGCAACAAUGAGCACAUAAAGGAGUGAUGGUGUCUAAUGGAUAUGUUUGCGCAGAAGUAUAUGAUGCUUCUGUUCGACAGACUCGGGAGAGAACUAUUGAGGAGAAGAGAACAAGAAUUUGUUAUUUCAGUUUGAAAAAUAUAGAGUAGUGAGCAUGGUACUAAUGGUUACAACUGGUUCCUGAUUGGGGAGAUCUUUGAUGAGGGUGCUUUGACAGGUGGAGUUGUUGGGAGAAAUGUGGCUGCCGGAAACAGUAAUCGUCGCUGGCAGGCAAAAAUUGUAGGUUAGUCAACAGUGGUAUAAAUUUGUCAAUUGAAAUGUGCUUGAAAUACAUACUUAAAUAAGGGGCCGUUCGGAAUCACUCCGCUCUGUAACUCCGCCGUGGAGCGGAGCGGCACCCAGUUCAAUUUUAGCGAGCGGCGAAAGUGGUGCUCCGCCCGCUCCGCUCCCUGACGGAGGAGCAGAGGAUUCCCGAACACAGCCUAAAUGUGGUUCACAGGACGGAGGUAUGUUGGUGGUGCCUUCGAGACAGGGAACAUGGGUUCUGCCAAAGUGGUCUUGGAGACGGUAGGGGAAUAAGAAGUCAGAAAGAGGCAACAAAAAGCGGAGGAGAGUGAGGUUCUCGAACAUUGUUGAAACGAUUUGUCGAUCGGAAACCUCAGAAACCGAAGACACUUCAAGUGAUAAUCACAGCAUGGCAAGUGGGGAUGAUGACCUUCGUGCGCGUCGUGCUGGAAGUGACAAGGAGCAAGGUUAUAAUACAGUGGUGGCACUGGAAAGGGUGGCGACAGAGUCCAAAAGGGUGGAGGUGCUGCUGCACUUGGUUCUGGAAUUGGCAUGGAAGGAGGGGCAGCUGAUGAUGGAACUAAUUCUUGUGGGAGGAUCCAGCGUCAUGACUGUGACUGUGAGCCUGGAUACACAUUCAGGGGUUCUUCAGAGGAGAAACUCCAUGCACAAUUGAGGAAGAAAUAAUAAUGGAAGGGGACGAGGCGAAUGAAUCUUGCAGAGGAAGGUUGGUUGGUGGACUGAUGGCUGCAAAUAUAUAGAUGGGUUUGGACAACGUUUCCGUCUGUGCGUGUCAUCUGAGCACCGUCUGAGACGUCAAGCAUGAGACGGCGGCCGUCACAUUAAGUCUGGUUGGUGGGUGGGCCAUGGUCUGCAAAAGAAUUGCAUAUACUACUUCGAAUACAUGGGCAUAUACGUGGAGUGGUGGGAAUCUUGGCGCUAGUGGACGUAGGAGAUAAGGAGCACAUAUGAGCCCGAGCUCAUAAUAGCACUUCCCAUAAGGAAGAGAUAAUAUUGCGAGCAGCACAAAGGCUUUUAAUCCAACCGACCGGGCGGAGUCAUGUGGAGCACAGCCUGGCUUGCUGCGGCAGGUCCCACCUUUGUGGCCACUGGUUGACUGAUGCUCUCGGGAUUGAAGUUGAGCAGGCAUUCACACUCUGCUCAAAUCAAGUAAAGGAGAGAUUCCUGCUCAAUGCAACCGUGGCAUUCAGGGUUCAAAAUUUCAAUGAAAUUUCACAAAUUUCGAUGGGGUC